rnacentral:rRNA from 1 species
AUCGAACGCUGGCGGCAGGCCUAACACAUGCAAGUCGAGCGAGCGGCGGACGGGUGAGUAAUGUAUGGGAAAGUGCUUGAUGGAGGGGGAUAACUACUGGAAACGGUAGCUAAUAUCGCAUACCAUCAGAUGUGCCCAGAUGGGACUAGCUAGUGGGUGGGGUAACGGCUCACCUAGAGGACGAUCCCUCGCGGGUCUGAGAGGAGGCCCAGCCACAGUGGAACGUGGACACGCCCCGAACUCCUACGGGCGGCAGCAGUGGGGAAUAUUGCAAAAUGGGCGCAAGCCUGAUGCAGCAAGGUCGCGUGUGUGAAAAAGUCCUUCGGGUUGUAAGGCACUUUCAGCGGGUAGGCGUUACCCGCAGAAGAAGCACCGGCUAACUCCGUGCCAGCAGCCGCGGUAAUUC